AGUCGAACGCUGAAGCUUGGAGCUUGCUCCGGGUGGAUGAGUGGCGAACGGGUGAGUAACACGUGAGUAACCUGCCCCUGACUCUGGGAUAAGCCUGGGAAACUGGGUCUAAUACUGGAUAUGACUACUGGCCGCAUGGUCUGGUGGUGGAAAGAUUUAUCGGUUGGGGAUGGACUCGCGGCCUAUCAGCUUGUUGGUGAGGUAGUGGCUCACCAAGGCGACGACGGGUAGCCGGCCUGAGAGGGUGACCGGCCACACUGGGACUGAGACACGGCCCAGACUCCUACGGGAGGCAGCAGUGGGGAAUAUUGCACAAUGGGCGCAAGCCUGAUGCAGCGACGCCGCGUGAGGGAUGACGGCCUUCGGGUUGUAAACCUCUUUCAGUUGGGAAGAAGCCUUUCGGGGUGACGGUACCUUCAGAAGAAGCGCCGGCUAACUACGUGCCAGCAGCCGCGGUAAUACGUAGGGCGCGAGCGUUAUCCGGAAUUAUUGGGCGUAAAGAGCUCGUAGGCGGUUUGUCGCGUCUGCCGUGAAAGUCCGGGGCUUAACUCCGGAUCUGCGGUGGGUACGGGCAGACUAGAGUGCAGUAGGGGAGACUGGAACUCCUGGUGUAGCGGUGAAAUGCGCAGAUAUCAGGAAGAACACCGAUGGCGAAGGCAGGUCUCUGGGCUGUAACUGACGCUGAGGAGCGAAAGCAUGGGGAGCGAACAGGAUUAGAUACCCUGGUAGUCCAUGCCGUAAACGUUGGGCACUAGGUGUGGGGGACAUUCCACGUUUUCCGCGCCGUAGCUAACGCAUUAAG
rnacentral:rRNA from 1 species